rfam:Xanthomonadales bacterium RIFOXYA1_FTLL_68_6 rifoxya1_full_scaffold_41626, whole genome shotgun sequence.
GGGGGUGCACUGGCUUCGACGGGGGUUGCAAAGUUUCCUGGUGCAUGCCGAGGGGGCAGCUUUCCUCGUAAAUCCAGCGGCAAAACUCUAGUUGCCAACGACGACAACUACGCUCUCGCCGCUUAAGGCGUAAGCCCUGAAACUGCUUGUGUCCGUGCUCGCAGCGUAAGGUCAUCAUCACGGAAUCGCCGGGAGUGGUUGCCUGUCAGCACCCGGUUAACCCAAAACAGGCUGGUUCUGCGGUGCGCUUGGCCCACCGUGCUGCUGCAGGACGAGACUCAACGGCGGGAUAAGCAUGUAGUACCGGGGAUGGAGUGCCUUCGGACGGCGGUUCAAUUCCGCCCACCUCCACCA